AAGUUCUCUGAGACACCAGGCUUCCACACGCUUCCACUGGUUGAUGUAGUUGAUUGUGUGCCACACACUGCAACAGCUUCUAAAGGAAGUGUGUCAAACAAAGAAACAAACUGUGGACUAAACUUUUAAAUCGCUUAAAAACAUCAAAUUCCACAGAGGUCCUGAGGGAGGAAGAAAACUCUGCGAAGAAAGAAAAAAAAAAAUGGUCUGUCUUCUCGGCAUGUUUUGGUGCAACAUACGUUGGGUUUUGUUGAAAAUGUCAAAUGGAGAUUUUAUGGUGCACCUUUAAAAUGGCUGACAAUGUAAUAUGAGGAGUUUUAGAGCAUUGUAAGACCUGGAAAUAUACAGUAUUUGACUACGGUUAUUAUUAUCAUUGUUGUUAUGCUAUUGCUGUUGUUGUCUUAAAGUUGAACAAAGUGUGUGUUUGUUAGUCUUGGAAUAAUUGGGUUAUUUAACUAGGGGAGGAAGCAGUGAGAGGAUGCUGUCAGGGGAAGCUGUGGGAUAAAGCUUAAUGAACGGGAGAAGAUGUCUCUUUCUUUCUGUAUGGUAUGUCUGUCUGUCUGCGUGUAUGUCUGUCUCUGCCUGUCCCUGUCUGUCUGUCUGCCUCUCAUUUAACUAAGAUAUGAUAUAGACUAAAGAGUAAGUUUGAUCCGUGUGGACAUCGACUCUAGUGCGUUAACAUCUGACAUGUCUGUCAUAACUUCAUGUUUCACCUGAGACAGUCUUAAAGUUUCUCUGGCUCGUUUCUUCUUCAAUUGUAUUGCUGUUGUGAUACAGAAUCCGUUUAGGUUGGUUUCUUCAGAAGUUCCCAUGGCGAUCACAUUAAUACAGGUAGAACUAUCAGAACACAGUAUCUGUCCUCUAUUCCUUGCCGCUGCUAUCAGAACACAGUAUCUGUCCUCUAUUCCUGGCCGCUGCUAUCAGAACACAGUAUCUGUCCUCUAUUCCUUGCCGCUGCUAAUCAGAACCCAGUAUCUGUCCCUAUUCCUGGCCGUGCUAUCAGAACACAGUAUCUGUCCUCUAUUCCUGGCCGCUGCUAUCAGAACACAGUAUCUGUCCUCUAUUCCUGGCCGCUGCUCAGAACACAUACUGUCCUCUAUUCCGGCCGCUGCUAUCAGAACACAGUAUCUGUCCUCUAUUCCUGGCCGCUGCUAUCAGAACACAGUAUCUGUCCUCUAUUCCUGGCCGCUGCUAUCAGAACACAGUAUCUGUCCUCUAUUCCUGGCCGCUGCUAUCAGAACACAGUAUCUGUCCUCUAUUCCUGGCCGCUGCUGGUUUAAUGGCUGUGACUCAUAUAAGCUGCCUCCUGCCUGGUUUAUACAGUGAAGGAUGAACUUCUAGACCCAUAUAUUCAUAUUCCAGGCUUCUGACGGAGGGAGAAAUAUUAAGGUGGGGAAGGAGAGGAGGGAGGUUGAGAGAUUUAAUCAGAUCAAGGGACAGAUGGAGAGAGACAAACAGAGACAGAAAGAGUGAAAGAUGGAGAGCGAGAGAUGUGUUGAAGGUCCAAAUCAGCACUUUGUAUUUAUCUCAAAAUCAAAUCAUUGUCACACUUUAUUUGAUAGUCUGGAUUUUCCAUCUGUAGAUGCUCUCCUACUAUCAACAAACCAUAUGUCGAUAAGCAACUGCUUGUUAGGUUUAGAAUUAGGGUUAGAGUUAAGGUUAGGGUUAGUAGAUAGUUAGUUGAAAGGUUACUGAUAGAUUAGUCUGUAGAGCAUCUACAGAUGGACUACCCAAAUGAAGUGGUACCAUCAUUAUUUCUUGGGAACAAUUCAGUUCCUUAACAGCGAUUUAAAAAAAUAUUUUUUUAAUUUAAAUGGCUUCUUAGCAAAGGGCAAUUUCUCUAGCAAGAAUUCUGCUAUGACUGGGAGUGGCCUGAGUGGGGAGGGGAAAACAGAAAAAUAGCUGUUAUUGGCAGAUAGGGUUGGAACGCUCUUUCUUAUUGGUCUAUUAACUAAUUUACCGCAUGGUGAUGUCACAAUGCAUGGCCAAAACUCCAUACCACCAAAACAGGCUGAAAUUUCAGGCGUUUUUUAAAAAACGUCUCUUACACUAAAAGGGCAUUAUCAUUUUCACAAUUUCAUAGUAUUAUUCCUAACUCAUAGUAUGGAAAUAUAUAUAAAACACAGGAAAAAUCACCUUUUUUUUGUCUGCACUGGGCCUUUAAGUGCAGCCAUACAGCUGUUCUGUCUGAUCACACUUCACUAGGAAUCACUGGGGUACAAUUGCCGGCCCGUUUCACCCAGAGUAGCAGCUGGUGAUGUGAAUAAUUCAAUCUGUUUCAUCCCUCCAUUCCAGACAUAUUUUUUCUCUCAAGAGGAGACUGCAAUGUUGUAUUUUUUGGUUGUUGAUGCAAAUUGUGUGGUUUCUCCCUCACCAGUACGACACGUGGACAAUGGUAAUAGUGAGUUUAUAGGUUAGUUGUUUGGUCAUUAGUUUGAUACAAGUAUACUUAGUCGUUUAAGAUUAUAAUGCCACAAGGUGGCAGCAUUAGCUUUCUGAUUUCUCCUGCUGGUCUUUUAUAAUGGUAUCUUUAUCACAAAUGUGUUCAGCCUCAUCUACAACAACACAUGGAUUCUAUUUAGUACAUUCAAAUUCAAACAAUAAAAUUGAGAGUUUUACUCGCUGGUAUUAGUCCCUCAAAAGUAGGGACAUCAAAACAUGACUCAUUACCUCUCAUUGUCAAGCACCACCAGCAUUCCCAAAACAAGCCCCACCCACUCUGAUGGAUGAUCUACAGCUGAUGCUGACUGAACAAAGGAGCUUCUGUCUAUCUUUUUAUUUAUAGUUGAGAGUGUUAACAGUCAAUGACAUAUGGGGCUUCAGCCAUGGCCUGUGCCAAGAGGGGUUGCAAUCCCAAUUGGUACCCUAUUCCCUCUGUAGUGAGCUACUUUUGACCAGGACCCAUCAGGCUCCGGUCAGAAGUAGUCAUUCUGGUCAAACGUUGUGCACUAGAUAGAGAAUAGGGUGCCAUUUGGGACGCAAUGGGACUUAACUCAUUGGGAAUGGGACGUUACUGGACAUGGGGAACGGGAUCCAUCAUGAUGGAUUCAGCCGCCAAUGCCUGCAUUUGAAACAUUCAAUCUAUGCUGAAGGUUUGCAAAGUGGCAACAUUACAGAUGGUUUACUGCAGUGUUGAUUGGUUGCUGUUAUUUACACAUGAUCCUCCCUAACAGAUUAUACACUGCAUCUUUCAAGGUUUUGGUUGCUAUGGCUAAAACCAUUGAUAUUUGUUGUGUUGUUAGACGUCUCAGGUUUCUACUGCGGUUACAAUUUAAACGUAUAAAGGUCAUCGAACUGUGAUGGAAUAAUGAUUUGAUGCAUCGGACUAAAAAUGUCCACACUAAAAGGUCAGACACCUGUUAUCUGUGCAGGACAGGCUGUAUUUGUUUAGCCGUUGCUCUGGGUUACGGCAUCAUGAUGACUGAGCCUUGUAGUGAAAGCAGACACUAGGACAGGUGUGUGUGUGUGUGUGUGUGUGUGUGUGUGUGUGUGUGUGUGUGUGUGUGUGUGUGUGUGUGUGUGUGUGUGUGUGUGUGUGUGUGUGUGUGUGUGUGUAUAUGCCUGUGUUUCCACAGUCACUUUUCUAUCCAACAUAAUCAACCAAUUUGUUGUCACAUUGUAGAGAAGGGACCUGCAAGUAAGCAUUUAGUUGGAAAGUGUGUACCAUGUGUAUCCUGUAUAUAUGACUAAUAAAACCCUCCGACGAACCAUCAAAAAGGCAAAGCGUCAAUCGUACUACACUGGCGCCGACACUCGUUGGAUGUUUUAGUUAAUAGUUUGCAGGGCUUUCAAACUAUUAUGGACUAACUAGUGGUUAAAGCGUUGGACCAGUAACCGAAAGGAAUCCCUGAGCUGACAAGGUAAAAAAAUAUUUCGUUCUGCCCCUGAGCAAGGCAGUUAACCCAAUGUUCCCCGGGCACCGAAGACGUGGAUGUCGAUUAAGGCAGCCCCUCGCACCUCUCUGAUUCAGAGGGGGUUGGGUUAAAUGCCGAAGACACAUUUCAGUUGUACAACUGACUAGGUAUCCUCCUUUCUCUUUCCCUACGAAGGGACGCACAGCCGUGAGCUGCCCAGUGACACGAGCCUACCAGACGAGCUAAAUUACUUCUAUGCUCGCUUCCAGGCAGCCACACUAAAGCAUGCAUGAGAGCAUCCGCUGUUCCGGGCGGCUGUGUGAUCACGCUCUCUGUAGUCGAUGUGAGUAAGACCUUUAAAACAGGUCAACAUUCACAAGCCCGCAGGGUGGAACAGAUUACCAGGACGUGUACUCUGAGCAUGCGCUGACCAACUGGCAAGUGUCUGACAUUUUCAACCUGUCCCUGACCGAUUCUGUAAUAGCAAACAUGUUUCAAGCAGACCACCAUAGUCCCUGUGCCCAAGAACACUAAGGUAACCUGCCUAAAUGACUACCGACCCGUAGCACUCACGUCGGUAGCCAUGAAGUGCUUUGAGAGGCUGGUCAUAGCUCACAUCAACACCAUUAUCCUAGAAACCCUAGACCCACUCCAAUUUGCCUACCGCCCCAACAGAUGAUGCAAUCUCUAUUGCACUCCACACUGCCCUUUCCCACCUGGACAAAAGGAACACCUAUGUGAGAAUGCUAUUCAUUGACUACAGCUCAGCGUUCAACACCAUAGGACCCUGGGACUAAACAUCUCCCUCUGCAACUGGUUGCAUCACCGCCUGGUUUGUCAACUGCUCGGCCUCCGACCGCAAGGCACUACAAAGGGUAGUGGGUAUGGCCACAUAGGUGUUCCUUUUGUCCAGGUGGGAAAGGGCAGUGUGGAGUGCAAUAGCGAUUACAUCAUCUGUGGAUCUGUUGGGGCGGUAUGCAAAUUGGAGUGAGUCUAGGGUUUCUUGGAUAAUGGUGUUGAUGUAUGCCUAGCAGGAUUUCUUAUAUGCUUCCGGGUUAGAUUCCCGCUCCUUGAAAGCGGCAGCUCCAGCCUUUAGCUCAGUGCGGAUGUUGGCUGUAAUUCAUGGCUUCUGGUUGGGGUAUGUACGUAUGGUCACGGUGGGGAUGAUGUCAUCGAUGCACUUAUUGAUGAAGCAAAUUAUUUAUGUGGUGUACUCCUCAAAGCCAUCGGAGAAAUCCCGGAACAUUUUCCAGUCUGAGCUAGCAAAGCAGUCCUGUAGC
ensembl:lncRNA